ACUGGAUUGUGAAGAUCUGCAUGGCUUUAAAGUACCUGCAUGAUCAACAGAUCCUGCAUAAAAACCUGCGACCCGAGAGUAUAUUCUUCACUACAUUUGGAACCAUCCGUCUUGGAGAGUUUGGAGGGGUCCAUCAACGAUCCACUGAAGGACGAACAGCUGGAAA